GUGGACAGUUGAAUCAUGAAGCAUAUGCUUGGGCACAUUCAAGGCCUCCUUAUUAAGAACAACAGAAAAUAAGUAGGUAAUUUCAAAAAUAAUCAAAUAUGUGUUUGUAUUGUGUUAAAUUAAGAAACAAGUUUUCAUAUAUAGAUAGAGAUGUUGGGAUGUUCUAUUGAUCUUGAGAUAAGAGGCCUAAAAAUCUUUAUCUAGAGCUGAAUGUCGAAAUAUUGGAUGUUGUAGCCAGAUUGAGCAUUGCUGUCUAUGUAUGUAAAAUAUUGAUCUUUCAUUUUUCUUCUAUCUUGAUUUCAAUAAAAAUAUGUGUUUUCUGCAAUAAUUUUCUUGUCGAUAAUUGUGUUUU
rnacentral:lncRNA from 1 species